AGAGUUUGAUCAUGGCUCAGAGCGAACGCUGGCGGCAUGCCUAACACAUGCAAGUCGCACGCCCCGCGAGGGGAGUGGCGGACGGGUGCGUAACGCGUAGGGAUCUGUCCCGAGGUGGGGGAUAACCCUGGGAAACUAGGGCUAAUACCGCAUGACACCUGAGGGUCAAAGGCGCGAGUCGCCUUGGGAGGAACCUGCGUCCGAUUAGCUAGUUGGUGGGGUAAAGGCCUACCAAGGCUUCGAUCGGUAGCUGGUCUGAGAGGAUGAUCAGCCACACUGGGACUGAGACACGGCCCAGACUCCUACGGGAGGCAGCAGUGGGGAAUAUUGGACAAUGGGCGAAAGCCUGAUCCAGCAAUGCCGCGUGGGUGAAGAAGGUCUUCGGAUUGUAAAGCCCUUUCGGCGGGGACGAUGAUGACGGUACCCGCAGAAGAAGCCCCGGCUAACUUCGUGCCAGCAGCCGCGGUAAU
rnacentral:rRNA from 1 species